rnacentral:rRNA from 1 species
AUUGAACGCUGGCGGCAGGCCUAACACAUGCAAGUCGAACGGCAGCACAGAAGAGCUUGCUCUUUGGGUGGCGAGUGGCGGACGGGUGAGUAAUGUCUGGGAAACUGCCCGAUGGAGGAGGAUAACUACUGGAAACGGUAGCUAAUACCGCAUAACGUCGCAAGACCAAAGUGGGGGACCUUCGGGCCUCACGCCAUCGGAUGUGCCCAGAUGGGAUUAGCUAGUAGGUGGGGUAAUGGCUCACCUAGGCGACGAUCCCUAGCUGGUCUGAGAGGAUGACCAGCCACACUGGAACUGAGACACGGUCCAGACUCCUACGGGAGGCAGCAGUGGGGAAUAUUGCACAAUGGGCGCAAGCCUGAUGCAGCCAUGCCGCGUGUAUGAAGAAGGCCUUCGGGUUGUAAAGUACUUUCAGCGGGGAGGAAGGCGGUGAGGUUAAUAACCUUGCCGAUUGACGUUACCCGCAGAAGAAGCACCGGCUAACUCCGUGCCAGCCGCCGCGGUAA